GACGAACGCUGGCGGCGUGCCUAAUUCAUGCAAGUCGAGCGAGCGGCGGACGGGUGCGUCUGGUCUGGGAAACUGCCUGAUGGAGGGGGAUAACUACCGGAAACGGUAGCUAAUACCGCAUACCAUCAGAUGUGCCCAGAUGGGAUUGGCUAGUAGGUGGGGUAAUGGCUAACCUAGGCGACGAUCCCUAGCUGGUCUGCGAGGAUGAACGGCCACACUAGAACUAAGACACGGACCAAACGCCUACGAGAGGCAGCAGUGGGGAAUAUUGCACAAUGGGCGCAAGCCUGAUGCAGCCAUGCCGCGUGUGUUAAGAAGGCCUUCGAGUUGUACAGCACUUUCAGCGAGGAGGCGUUACUCGAAGAAGAAGCACCGGCUAACUCCGUGCCAGCAGCCGCGGUAAUUG
rnacentral:rRNA from 1 species